rnacentral:rRNA from 1 species
UACGGAGGGUGCAAGCGUUAUCCGGAUUUAUUGGGUUUAAAGGGUCCGUAGGCGGAUCUGUAAGUCAGUGGUGAAAUACUCCAGCUUAACUGGAGGGGUGCCAUUGAUACUGCAGGGCUUGAGUGGAGUCGAAGUAGGCGGAAUUGACGGUGUAGCGGUGAAAUGCUUAGAUAUCGUCAAGAACACCGAUAGUGAAGACAGCUUACUAGGCUUCUACUGACGCUGAGGCACGAAAGUGUGGGGAUCAAACAGG